CGCAGAGGGGCACGCCAGCCAUGAGGACAGAUGAGGGAACACGUGAUGCCACGAUGGGGGUGCCAGGAUGAGAAAGUGCGAAGGGACUGGAAUGGAGAUCCUGAGCGGUCCUGGGUGCCGGGGCCCCGACCGGGGCUGAGCUGGUCCCCUGGUCGGGACGGCUGGGCAGAGGUGCCGAGGGGCCGCGGGCGGCCCUUCGCUGGCUCAUUCGCAUCCGCAGCCCCUCAAGAAGGCCCUGGGCCCGCAGGGAGGAAGAGGUGAGCACCCGACAGGAAGGAGAUGGGCUUGGGGGCUCGGGGCGUGCCCUGGGGCAGGUGGAGCGUCCGGCCUCUGAUGUCCCGCGCAGGACACUGAGGUCGCGGUGCAGAGAAGGGUCGGCUUGAGGAUCUGACAGCCUUGCCCGCGUUGGAGACGGGGAAAGGCUCGCAGAACUAAGUUUACCUGGAAGGUCCUCUCCUGCGCUGGCUCUGGGGGUGCUUGGAACCAGAGCCCCUUAGUCGAAGCGCGUCCUGCUGCCAGCUACUACCAAGUCCUUAGGCCGAGCCCGUUUCUCUCCUGGUGAUGUGAAUCCUCGUUUUUUGUUGUUGUUGUUGUCGUUUACUGAAGUCCCGGGCUGAUUAGACACAGCAAUGGAAGCUGGGGGUGGCCUGGGCCGUGCAUUGAAUUUGUGACUUUAGCAAGUCCCUAAAUUCCUCUCUGCCUCACUUUUGCUGUCUUUUUUAGGUUAAAAAUAUUUUGGAGAAUAGAAAACAGAACAAAACAAAAAUAAUGGCUUAUAGUGCCAAUAUGGAAUUAUAGUCACUCCUAACAUUUUGGUAUAUUGUUUUGCAUUUGCUUUGUUUCUAUUCUAUGCUUAUAUAUUUUUAAUUUUUUUCCAUCACUGUCAUCAUAUUUCCUAUUCAGGUCUCCAGCCUGCUUUAAAAAUUUUUUAAUCAUAAAGUUCCAUAAAAAUUUUAUUUCAGCCAAUUUCUUUUAUAACACGUUCUUCAUGAAUCUUAUCUGAUAUCUGCAUAAUAUUCCACUCAUACUUUGCACAAUUAGACAUUAAGGUCGUGUGUACUUUUUAAAUUAUGAUACAGCAAUUUCUAAAUAGUGUAUAAUUUCAAUUUUUGUUUCUUAGUUAUCAUAACAGUUCUUAAAAGGUGAUAACAAAUUUUUAAGUGGAUACAUUUUUUCCCCCUUCUUUGGUUUAUAAUUUUAUUGCUCUGUGGUCUGAGAAUGUGGCUGUAUUUACGCUUUUUGAAAUUGAAGUUUUUGAUUGAUGGUUGAUUUCGUAAAUAAGUUUAGGCACAGUUUUGUAUAAAUGAUUGGGCACAAAAUUCUUUAUAUUAGAUCAAGCUUUGUAAAAUGUAUUAUCCAUAUCUGCUAUGUCUUUUUAAAAUUUUUAUCUACUUGAUCUAAUUUCUGAAAGAGCUGUAAGUUUUUUAAAUGUGUUUGUGGAUUUACUAUUUCUUCUUUAUAUAUAUAUAUAUAUAUAUAUAUAU
rnacentral:lncRNA from 10 species